CCUACGGGAGGCAGCAGUGGGGAAUAUUGGACAAUGGGGGAAACCCUGAUCCAGCGACGCCGCGUGAGUGAAGAAGUAUUUCGGUACGUAAAGCUCUAUCAGCAGGAAAGAAAAUGACGGUACCUGACUAAGAAGCCCCGGCUAACUACGUGCUAGCAGCCGCGGUAAUACGUAGGGGGCAAGCGUUAUCCGGAUUUACUGGGUGGAAAGUGAGCGGAGGCGGCAGUGCAAGUCUGGAGUGAAAUGCCAGGGGCGAACCCCGGAACUGCUCUGGAAACUGUGGAGCUGGAGUGCAGGAGAGGUCAGGGGAAUUCCUGGUGUAGCGGUGAAAGGCGUAGAUAUAAGGAAGAACACCGGCGGCGAAGGCGGCUUACUGGACUGUAACUGACGUUGAGGCUCGAAGGCGUGGGGAGCAAACAGGAGUAGAUACCCGUGUAGUC
rnacentral:rRNA from 1 species